UACGUAGGUGGCAAGCGUUGUCCGGAAUUAUUGGGCGUAAAGCGCGCGCAGGCGGCCCUUUAAGUCUGAUGUGAAAGCCCACGGCUCAACCGUGGAAGGUCAUUGGAAACUGAAAGGCUUGAGUACAGAAGAGGAAAGCGGAAUUCCACGUGUAGCGGUGAAAUGCGUAGAGAUGUGGAGGAACACCAGUGGCGAAGGCGGCUUUCUGGUCUGUAACUGACGCUGGGGCGCGAAAGCGUGGGGAGCAAACAGG
rnacentral:rRNA from 1 species